UACGUAGGGGGCAAGCGUUGUCCGGAUUUAUUGGGCGUAAAGAGCGUGUAGGCGGCCAAACAGGUCAGCUGUGAAAACUCGAGGCUCAACCUCGAGACGUCGGUUGAAACCGUUUGGCUAGAGUCCGGAAGAGGAGAGUGGAAUUCCCGGUGUAGCGGUGAAAUGCGCAGAUAUCGGGAAGAACACCCGUGGCGAAGGCGGCCCUCUGGGACGGUACUGACGCUGAGACGCGAAAGCGUGGGGAGCGAACAGG
rnacentral:rRNA from 1 species